UACUACAAACCAAUAUAUCAAGUUGUCGUUUCCUAACAUUUCAAUUGGAAACAAUAAAAUAUAUAAAGUGUAGGCAUUUGUCUUUAAGGUGAACUUAAGCGAAGAAAGACAAAAUAUAAUAACAGGAAAUGCCCUAUUGAGACAACGCGUGAGGACACAAAGAUCAUUGGCAUCAUACGAUCGAUUCGCAUUCCAAUAUGAUCCCAUUGAGAACUACAGUGAUUAUGAAAAUUUAGAUAUUGGACCAAUGACGACGAUUUUGCAAUGUGUUAAAAUUCAAAAGAGAAACGGCUAGAUUAUGCUUCGCAAGUGGAAAAGUCAAACUGGAUCCAUUACUUAUCAAAUAAAAAAAAAAAAA